rnacentral:snRNA from 1 species
UAACUUCCUGUCUUUGUCACU